rnacentral:rRNA from 1 species
CCUUAGUAUCUGCUGCAACACUAGGAUAACUUAAUUCAACAUCGAGGUGUCAAACUUUAUUUUUAAUAUCAUCUCUCAAAUAAAAUUAACCUGUUAUCCCUGAAGUAACUUUUAUUUAUUUAUUAUCUCAUAAAAUUUUAUAGUAUAAAGAUAGGUCAUUAUAUCUAAAUUAUAAUUGUUAAAUUUAUAAAUUAAACAAUAAAUAAUAAUAUUAUUUUAAUAUACAUUUUUUAAUUUUAAAAUGUUGUUGCCCCAACCAAACUACCCAAUUAAUAAAUCUAGUGCUAAUAUAAUUGCGUAUAUUAGCAUAAAUUAUUAAUAUAUAUAGUUAAGCUUUACAGGGUCUUUUCGUCUUACAAUUUUAAAUAGCUUCUUCACUAUUAUAUUAAUUUCAAUAUAUUAUAAAUAAGACAGUGGAAAUUUCGUUCAAUCAUUCAUCUACGUUCAACAAUUAAUUGACUAAUUAUUUUCCUACAUUAUCACCGUCAAGAAUACAGCGGCCGUUUAAUUAUAAGUUAAUAAUAUAUUAUUAUGCUGUAUAAUCACUGGGCAGAUUACACUUUUUACUUUCUUAAAAAAGAUAUGUUUUUGGUAAACAGUCGA